CUCAGGACGAACGCUGGCGGCAACGCUUAACACAUGCAAGUCGAACGAAGAUGUUCACCGUAGCUUGCUACACCGAGACAUUUUAGUGGCGGACGGGUGAGUAACACGUGAGCAAUCUGCCCUUGUGUGGGGGAUACCGUCUGGAAACGGACGUUAAUACCGCAUAAUGUAGUGAGAUCGCAUGGUCUUAUUACCAAAGAUUUAUUGCACAAGGAUGGGCUCGCGUUGGAUUAGGUAGUUGGUGAGGUAACGGCUCACCAAGCCGACGAUCAGUAGCCGGACUGAGAGGUUGACCGGCCACAUUGGAACUGAGAUACGGUCCAGACUCCUACGGGAGGCAGCAGUGGGGAAUAUUGGGCAAUGGGCGAAAGCCUGACCCAGCAACGCCGCGUGAAGGAAGAAGGCCUUCGGGUUGUAAACUUCUUUUACCAGGGACGAAGAACGUGACGGUACCUGGAGAAAAAGCAACGGCUAACUACGUG
rnacentral:rRNA from 1 species